rnacentral:rRNA from 1 species
CCUACGGGGGGCUGCAGUGGGGAAUAUUGCGCAAUGGGCGAAAGCCUGACGCAGCGACGCCGCGUGAGGGAUGAAGGUCUUCGGAUCGUAAACCUCUGUCAGCAGGGAAGAACGGUCACUGUGCUAAUCAGCAGUGAAUUGACGGUACCUGCAAAGGAAGCACCGGCUAACUCCGUGCCAGCAGCCGCGGUAAUACGGAGGGUGCGAGCGUUAAUCGGAAUUACUGGGCGUAAAGCGCUCGUAGGCGGUAUGUCAAGUCAAGGGUGAAAUCCCCGCGCUCAACGUGGGAACUGCCUUUGAAAAUGGCAAACUGGAGUGUUGGAGAGGAUAGUGGAAUUCCAGGGGUAGGAGUGAAAGCCGAAGAUAUCUGGAGGAACAUCAGGGGCGAGGGCGACUAUCUGGAACAUAACUGACGCUGAGGAGCGAAAGCGUGGGUAGCAAACAGGAUUAGAUACCCGAGUAGUC